rnacentral:rRNA from 1 species
UACAGAGGGGGCAAGCGUUAUUCGGAAUUACUGGGCGUAAAGCGCACGUAGGCGGCUUGUUAAGUCAGGGGUGAAAUCCUGGAGCUCAACUCCAGAACUGCCUUUGAUACUGGCGAGCUUGAGUUCGGGAGAGGUGAGUGGAACUGCGAGUGUAGAGGUGAAAUUCGUAGAUAUUCGCAAGAACACCAGUGGCGAAGGCGGCUCACUGGCCCGAUACUGACGCUGAGGUGCGAAAGCGUGGGGAGCAAACAGG